CUGUUAUCAACGAAGCUGCAGCAGGCGUGCAAAGAAUCCAGAAGUCACAGAAAGGAGGAAGAAUGAGGGGACUGAUGAUAAUUGAAAGCUGGUGGUGGAAAAGGAAGAUUUGGGAGCCUAGACAAAGAUCAACAGAGAUUCUUGGCUUGAAUACAAAAGAAUUCACUGGAAGUCUGUGAAAUAAAACUCAUGACUGAAGUGGCCCACUAUAGCCAGCCCGCCUGUCACAGAUAACCAUCAAGGGGCUGGAGCCAAGGGUGCAACUGGAUGUGGCAGGUAGGUCUGAGAAUUUCUUGAUUGACACAGGCUGCUACUUACUCUAUCUUGACCUCCUGCUCCUUCUCCUCUCAAACCUGUACCAUUUUGGGUGCUACAGGAAAAACAAUUACAAAAACACUCACCUGAGCA